GGCUUGUUUGAUUUGAUACCAAUUUAUUGCCCUACCAAAACUUUGGUAACUUCAAUUGUAGCAAGUGUAUGUUUAUUUUGCUACCAGGUUUUGCCCACAAUAGUUCAAAUUUAACACUACCCAAUUUAGUAGUGCUAAAACUUACCAAUAUUUUGGAGCUACCAAGAUUUUGGUAUGGCAAAAAUUGGCUCCAAACCAAACAACCCCAAA
rnacentral:misc_RNA from 1 species